UGAUGGAGAAAGAGGGCGGGGGAGUUAUAGAACAGAGCAAUACAAAGGUGGUGCAUAGAGAGAGAGAGAGAGAGAGACAGAGAGUUGUGGGAAGAGAAGGGGGGAGAGGGGAGAGACGGAGAGAGGUCGAGAGAGAGAACCUCUCAACUGAACUCAUCACUCCCUCCAACUGUGAAGUCAAAACAGAACCAUUUACAAGAUAACCAACAGGAACCAAUGUCUUUAUAGAGGGCGUCUUCCUGAUCCAUGCCAUCCUAAAAGAUAUUUCUUUGUGGUGACUUGUUAAAAUUCACUCAAGUAAAUCGUUCAUUCACGCUCUUCUUGAAAUGAUCCUCUGAUUAUGAAUAAUUGCUUCAUCGUUCAUUCACCAUGAGAGGAGAGAGAUUGUGUGUUUAUGCUUGACUGGACAGAAAAGAUCAAUUUACUUCCAGUGACUAAAGCCCAUCUCCUCUGUGGAAGUGAGACGGCAUAUCGGAUAUGCCGUUUUCUCUUUUGUAUUUAUGUUGAUUUCCUAGGUGUUGUUUGGAAUUGAUAUUUAUCAGACGCAUGAUCUUCAUGGUUUUCGGGUUUCAGGAAGUAAUGUAUGAGUUUAACAUGCAUGAAGCCAACUCGUCUGUUUACUCUCUUUUAAGUUGUCAGCAUGCCAGAACAUUAUUUUCCUUUGUGUGCGUGUACGGAUGUGUGUAAAAAUGUACAUUUUGUUAAUUUUUUUAUCUUGCAUUGUCUUUCUUUCGGCUUUCCAACCCAUAGCGAGGCUAUAGAUCCAUACAAUGAUUCACUCAAUUAAAAGAUUCAUCAUCAUGUGCAGAGCUGACGUUGGUGAUUGUUGGUGAUUUGAGCUCACGUUGGUCACCAGUAUCUAGACUAGAGGAUCACCAUGUUGGUGAUUCUCUUCAUCUCUUCCUAUAUUUAGUCCCUCAUCAAUACCUUUCUCUACAUGGAAAUAAGCAUUCUUCCAACCAUUUCAUUUGUUAGUGUUGUGAAGUGAAGUACAUGUGAUUUGUAUAGAGCCCUUAACUACAGGGCUAUGACAGAACCAAGAUCCAAAAAUACUUCUUCUUUGCCCAGUGACAAAUUCAUCUCCAUUAAAAAAAAUUUGAGAGGUCCCUUUGGAUGUUUUUCCUCCAUUAUAAAGUUAUUAGUGGUUGAAUAUUAUAUGUUUAGGCUAUAAACUACUGUGGCCAUUCAAGACCUCGAUGUACCAAAUAUGGAUGGUUGCCAUUGCUGGUUUAAUCAAUACAAUUCCAGCCUGAUGACCCGCCCCGCUCUGCCUCUGGUUGGCUCAGCCUGAUGACCCGCCCCGCUCUGCCUCUGGUUGGCUCAGCCUGAUGACCCGCCCCUCUCUGCCUCUGGUUGGCUCAGCCUGAUGACCCGCCCCUCUCUGCCUCUGGUUGGCUCAGCCUGAACUUGCUGCUUCUCAGAAAGGGCUAUCUGCUGCACCCAUGGACCUAUUAAAGAAAGGACAGCGGAUUAAAAAAAUGACGCCCAUUCAUUCCUAUGAAAACUGCUCAAUGGCGCAGGGCAACGUCAAGGAGGGAUUUGCUUCCGCAUCAUGGGAGCCAGUCACGCCCUAGUGCAUGACGUGUCGGAAGGUGCAGAGAUAUUCUCGUUGUCUAGCAUUGUUAGCAUUGUAACAUCAUAAGCGAGAGGUCUGUCUACACAUCCCUCGGCGACUUUAAGGGAUUCAAAGUCAACACAGUGCCUCAAAACCAUCAACGUCAUUCAUGUUAAGUAAAAGGAAAACCUUGGACACGAGAAGUUAACUGAGCCCUCUCGAAUGCCGGGCCGAAACAACAUUUGUUGUUUCACUACGACUUCUUUCAGCGGCCCACCCCUCCUUCUCCUGCAAAAAAAACAAAACAAAACAGCUAAUAAAACCCUUGAGGUGGCGUUUUGAAGAGAGAAAACUUACAUUUUAUUAAAACUUACAUUAGUCCAUGGUAUAAAGAUAAUUGUGAGCUUUUGAUUGAUAUCCAUUCAUUUUUUGCAGAGCCACAUUCCUGUUCCCCAUUUGUAUUGGAGUGAACGGAGAUAUCUACUUCUGGGCCCCUUGAAUCGAGGGACCCGUCCACAGCCCGCUUAAACAGCUGCAAUACCAGGCUUGGCCGCUGGGCACUGGUGGAUUGCGGAAGUAUGCACUGUUCCUGGGGGCCUGGCUGCACCCUAACCCUCAACCUAACCACCUAGUUGUGUUGCCUUGACAUAAUCAAAAAAAUUAAAUAAAGUAGUAAGGUUUGCUAAACCUAAUCAAGUAGUUAGGUUUGCUAAACCUAACCCAGUAGUUUGGUUGCCUUUACCUAAACCAGUAGUUUGGUUGCCUUAACCUAACCCCAGUAGUUUGCUUUGCUAAACCUAACCAAGUAGAUGGUUUACUAAUCCUUACCCGGUAAAUUGAUUGCCUAAACCAAUCAGAGCCAGAUUCAUUCAAAAUGUGCCAUUAUUAAAAGCCAUUCUAGAUAAUAAUGUAAUUUUGAAUAUCCCACAAUAAAUCAUGACUACCAAAAAUGUCAUGACGGAUACGACAAUAAGGCUUUAGGGAAAAUGUGAUUUCAGAUAUCUACCAUUAGAAUUAAGACUUAAAACAAUGCAAUUGCAGAUAUCCAGAAAUGUAUUGUGGAUAUCUGUUUCUUGUAUGUGUUUCAUGUAUCUUUAUUAGAUAGAUAUAGAUAGAUAAAAUAAAAUAGAUUAUUUUAUAAGAUUGAUUAUUCUUAUCAAAGUUGAAGAUGUCUUAUAUCUGUAAUACAAUUUCUACCUGUAAGAAUGUUAUUGUGAAUAUCUUUAACAACCAUUUUAUCUAGUGCGAAUACAAUUUCGACAAGGACAAAUGCUAUUCUCAAUUACUGAAAUGUUUUUACAGAUAGCAGGGAUGUUUAAGAACAGCCUGCCAUAUCAUGUUUGGCAAUUCAGUGUUAAAUUGGCCUGUGAUAGACUUUAUGAAGACUCAAUUUGGUUGUGUGUUGACAAAGGGUUGACGUCACGGCACACCCUACACUAAUCUUUAGUCUGUGGCUGCAGGUUGUCUACAAACAUCGAAACGGUGAGAGAUAGAACAACUAGGGUGAGAAAACGUGUAUGAGAGCAACAAAAUGAAAGUUGAGAGGAGCGGAGGUGAUUUGAGCUUUGUGGUUUGCGUUUGAAUUCCAUUUCAACCUAAAUAUUUCCCUUUCAAGUUCCCGUUCCUUUUUAAGUCUCCCUUCCCUUAUGAAGUCUACUCUAGCCUCCUACUGUAUGCAUCGCCACACAGCUCCACUAUACUGAGUGACUACAUUCAGAGAUUCUAAUGAAGGCUUGAGAUUUGUUGCUCACAAUAAUGGGGUUUAAUGCUCCUCUAAUAGUGGCUGCCCGUGGUCGGGAGAUAGAUUUAUUUAUGGAUUUCUUUAUUUAUUUUGUCUCUAUGUCUAUAGAGUAUCUGUUGGGGUAUCCAUGUUGACAAUAACACAAAGGUACUACUUUAUAGAACCACAAUAGACCCACGGUAUGGCGUAUAAAUGUCAGUUAAAGUGUGUUGUGGGCAUACGCAGAUCUGAACCCAGUCCCUCAGUCCGCCUGUACAGGAUGAGAUGUUUUCUAAGUGGCUCAGUGCUGAUGCAGUUACAAUUUUCCAGGUGAGCGCCUUGACUGUGAUCAAUAAGCAGCCAUGACAGGAGGUACUAACCUAAACAAAUUCUUUGCAGAGGAGAAUCGCCCUUUCCCCCCAUAAUAUAUGGCGGACAACACUGUGCCUGAGUGGCUCGCACAGCCUCGCAUGGUCUGGUACCCCCUAGCGUAGCCCCCUCCAGUCUAGCGUAGCCCCAUUCUUGGUUGCCCUAGCAUAGCCUGGGUUAGAUUAGCACAGCCUGUAUUAGCUAAGCACAGCCUGGGUUAGUUUAGCACAGCCUCAAUCAACCUGCAUUCUCUGGAACAGAUUAGCAUAGCAUUCUACAGUCUAGCAUAGCAUUAGUUAUUUUAGCAUAGCCUGGGUAAAUCUAGUAUAGUUUGAGUUAGCCAAGAAUAUUUGUUUUUAGGAUCAUCAUCUAACGUAAGGUAAUAUCUGAUGUUUAUUUGAAUCAAAGGCAAGUGAAUAAAGAUUGCAGGUCUUAAUCACUGACAAAAAUAAAACCAAAAAAGGUUUUUGGAAACAAUCUACUGUUCUCCCAACUCCUGUCAGACUAUCUGCAUAUUUAAAGAUAAAUAAUACAACUGAUUACACUGCAGAUAACGGUUCAUUACGCAGAAGCAAUGAGUCCAUUAAAAUAGAUUGCAAUUAAUCAAUUAGAAAAUUAAAGCCAGUUUAGCUCAUUUAGCCUUCAUCAAUUAUUUAUCAAGAGUUAGAGAGGACACAAUUUUUUCAGCAAUUAGAUGGUUCUGCCAAGGACUCAUUCAGCUUGUUCAACAAUCUCAUUCCUCUAUUUUCUCUACUCUUUGUACUGUUCAACUCUCAACAGCCUCCGUCGUCUGUCUGUUUGAAUUCUGUUCUUUCACUCCAUAUUCCCUCCUUCAGCUCAUCUCUUUCUUUUAAUCUGAGUCUAGACACUUGUUUUUAGCAUCUUUGCACUCAGGCUUCACGCAGCUCCUCCAGCCCUGUAUGAACACAUCUUAUCAGGCUUCUCAUGGCCUCAGUCAGCAAUGUCCACUUUGUGUCCAUUCUUAAUGGAACCUGCAGUAAAUCUCUGUUAUCACGGCCGUCCUUCAAAACUACAGCUUUGUUUCUGGAAAUGUAUUCCGGUGUCACACUAGUUGUUUUAUAUGGAUGGACAGAAAAUAAAGAACAGAAUGAUUAUAAACCCUUCUGUUUACUGUGUUGGAGCUUAGUAAAUAAAUCAGAUGAUUCAACAAAGCCUAGAAAGAAACCGUUGUAAGAAGUUUGACGGCCAAUGAACAAUAAAAUGGAAGGUGGACAUUU